rnacentral:rRNA from 1 species
CCCUUAGAUGUUCUGGGCCGCACGCGCGCUACACUGAUGCAUUCAACGAGCCUAUCCUUGACCGACAGGUCCGGGUAAUCUUUGAAUCUGCAUCGUGACGGGGAUAGAUUAUUGCAAUUAUUUAUCUUCAACGAGGAAUGCCUAGUAGGCGCAAGUCAUCAGCUUGCGUCGAUUACGUCCCUGCCCUUUGUACACACCGCCCGUCGCUCCUACCGAUUGGGUGUGCUGGUGAAAUGUUCGGAUCGGCCGUUUGUCGCGGUUUCCGCGUCAUGUGGCUGAGAAGUUCAUUAAACCCUCCCACCUAGAGGAAGGAGAAGUCGUAACA